UUUCUCACUAUCGAUGGUUUUCCUUUUUUUUUGCCCAUCACUUUAUGCUUUUUCCAUCAUUUUUUAGCGGGAGUUGGCAAGCGAACAAGUGAAUUAAUAUCUUAAAAGUGGUGGUGUUGGUGCUGGCAGUGGCCUGAAAUGGAUUAUGGACAAGUUUCUCAAAAUGCACUUUGGUGUGACAACUUUUAACAUUAACAUUUUAUUCUGCAGCCGGAGGCUACAAGUCCUAAGCGUCAAGAGGAAGCUUCGAGUCCUAAGCGUCGAGGGGAAGCUAGGAGCAAAAUAGAAAUUUGUGUUGUUUUUUUAUUUAUUUAUUUAUUUAUUUUUUUAACCAUCGAUAGUCCAUCGAUUGUUUUUCUAAAACAAUCGAAAACCAUCGAUGGUCCCACCAUCGAUUGUUCUCCAGCUCUAACUUCAAGUAUUCUGCGAAUUUGACCCUUUUGUGGAAUUGCUUCCUGUCGGUGAAGUCCCACAAUAAAGGGCAUAAGCUUGGAUUUGGCGUCCUAUUUCAUCUGUACUGACCUCCUGCAUCCGAUUUUGAGGGUUUCCUUCCAUUUUUAAUUUUUAGUUUUCACAUCGCCUUUGCACGCACACCGCCAAAGAUUGAAUUUCUUAUUCCUUGGGCCGCGGCUCAUCACGUUCAUCGAAAAUUCAGUCUGAUUUUUCCUUUUUUUUCUGAUAUUUCCUUAGCUCAUCUGAGUACCGCGCUGAAAAACAGACCCGACGAAAAGCGUUAGCCGCGUAUUUGCCUUUCGCUCACUCCUAUGGUUAGCUCGCGGUUUUCGUCGAUCUGAGUACUAGGCUUAAAAUCAGAGCUGAUAAAAUACCAACAAGUAUUUAAAAUACCAUAUUCGGUCACGCUGAAAGCGACCGCGCCUACAAGGGGUGUCACGUAAAUUUCUACGGAGGAAAUUCAAGGUAAGAGUACGUUAGAGAUGUAAGAACUUCAAUGCCACUAUCGAUAUCAUCGAUGUUUUUUUUAAAACGGCGAUAUAUCUAUGUAUUUAUCAAACAUCGAUAACUUCGACACUACUAGGCUUUACUCAGUGAGUACUACUCACAUCAACGAAAUCCGCGAGCUAACCAUGGGAGUCAGCGGAACCCAAGACGACUGCACGAGGUCAGAGCAAAUGAAAAAGGAUAUCUAAUCCGAGCCUUGUCCAAGUUGCCCAUUACUGUGGGACUUGAUCCUCUGGAAACAAUACCACAACAGGGCAAAUCCGCAGAAUAGUGGAAGUGCUGGAGAUAAUCAAAUCGAGAAGCCCAUUGAAAACGAGUGGGACUUUUCUCCCUGCAUGGACAUCCUGCCGGACGGGCCUACGCAAAGAAAGACUCCACAUCCACCUGCUACUUGGCAUCUAAUGCGGACCUGGAAAAAAAGACGCCCGCUAAGGGAUAGCUAUAGGAGCCAAUACCAGCCGUUCUCAGGAUGCUGGACGACUUCCUGCAGCAUCUGCGCAACGACCCCGUUCCCAAUCCGGCUCACAGUCACACAAGACUAAUAUUGGCAUAUUUGCGAAUCGGAGCUUGACUGCAGAUGGCGAAGCAACCGCUACACGAGAAGGAAGCCUUAAACUAUUAAAUAACAUAAGUCAAAACAUCCUUUGAAAA